rnacentral:rRNA from 1 species
GAGGACAGUGGAACUCCAUGUGUAGCGGUGAAAUGCGUAGAUAUAUGGAAGAACACCAGUGGCGAAGGCGGCUGUCUGGACCGUAACUGACGCUGAGGCUCGAAAGUAUGGGUAGCAAACGGGAUUAGAUACCCUGGUAGUCCAUACCGUAAACGAUGAAUGCUAAGUGUUGGAAGGUUUCCGCCCUUCAGUGCUGCAGCUAACGCAUUAAGCAUUCCGCCUGAGGAGUACGGCCGCAAGGCUGAAACUUAAAGGAAUUGACGGGGACCCGCACAAGCGGUGGAGCAUGUGGUUUAAUUCGA